UAGACCCUAUCUGGGUCCGGAUUUGAACCCUAUCCUAAAAUUAGGGUCCGGAUUCGGGUAGGAUCCAGACCGGACUCAAUACCGUUAAAUGCCCAUCCUAGUUCUAAGUGAAGUCGUUUUGGAAGCUGUUGUGAGCACACCGGUGCAAGAAAGCUUUUCAGACGAAUGUAACAAAGAAAAAUCAGAAAUUGAGACCUGCCAAAUUAUCUCUUCAGGUCCCGAAAUCCAGACAAGUGACUCCCCUCAAGGAGAAAUCAUUGAAUCAAAGACAAUACUCAUCUUUUCCCAUCAUCCGUUAUACAUAAUAUGUUGCUAUGAGGAAAUACUGUUCAUUUGAGGCAAAAUAAACAGUAUUUUUGGCAAAUCAGCUUUUCCCUUCCCUGGUCCUCGCUUUUUGCCUCCCUUUCCCAUUUCCUUCCCCAACUUACUUGGAGAAACCACCAGAGUUGACUGCUCUAAGGGCCAAGAACAACUGCCUCCUUCUCAUUUUGUCGCCUUUCUCAAAUUAUCAUUUUCUACAUGCUAUCAGAUUCACCAUCAAUUCAAGGUUUUUGUUUGCAUAGUUUGGGAAGAGAAAGAGAGAGAAAUUGGAUAAUAAUAAAAAAGCAAUGAAAGAUAAUAAUCCCAAAUUGCGGCAAGAUGUGGGAAAUUUCUGAGCUUUUCCUACAAAUUCAUAAAAACAAUUAAUGAAAUUACAUUAAAAGCAUUAUAAUGCCUUUGUCUUUACCACCUCCUAUGUUAUUUUCUUCAUUUUCGUCAUUUUUAUUACAUCCCAUGUUCGUUUUUGUUGCUAGCUAUGGAGGAUUCUGAAGAUACACAUCCUGGGUAUGCUUCUUUUUAUGAUUCCAUGUUGUCAUUUAUUAUCUAUUUUUAUCUUGAAACUGUUAUUUAGAAAUUUGCGACUUUGAAAAUUUGUGAAUGAUUUUUCUGUUGAUUAGUGUCUUUUUGGGUUUUUAGUAUAAUGGCAUAUACCCUUUGAUACAUGUCUAUUUUCAUUUGUGUAUUUAAGUUGCAGAUGAUGGUAGCAAUCAAACCAAAGAUUAAUAAUACUUUAUUAAGCUAAAGGCUUGUCUGAGGGUUGAUGUUUUGGAAAACUUUGAAACAUGUGACAGCUUGUGCUAAAUGUAUGUAAAAAAGGGCCACAAACCUUUGGAAAAAGAGCAUAUGAGCCUAGGUAAAUCCCCAAAGGUAUCAUAUUAGUCAGCAUUAUGUUUACCUAUAUGCCUAAUGUUUUAGUGUUCUAGAGGGUGUAGUUGCAUACUGAUCGCAGUCUGAUCUCUACACCCGUCAAUUUAUCUUCAAUGUCUUGGUUGUUAGAUGUAGUAAAAAGAGAUCAAUUAUUAUGAGUUUAAGUGAACUUUAACUAAAAAAAAAUUGUUAUUACCUAUGUACAUGUCAAAUAAAUUUCUUUUGCAAGAAUUGCUCUCAUGAAUUUGUAUUACUAGCUGAUUUUCUCUAAAUUGGUAAUGAGAGGAAAAUCCAUGCUAUCUUUGAAAUUAAAUUUACAUUGACAUGAGAUUCUUCUUGCAAAGUACACACUAAUUCAUGAUUUCACCACAAGUGACUGAUAAAUUGGGCAAAAAAAGUUGGUAUAGUGAGCUUAUUUGAAAAUAACAAGGAAGAAUGUUGAAAAACAAGCGAAGGUUUCAAGUGAAGUUUGCUGCUUCCUCUUUCUGUUCAAUUUUAAUUUGAAGAUUCUUUAGAAAAAUCUCUUUUUAAAUUCAACAUGGAUGCUAUUGACCAAGUUUUUAAUUUUUGACCAAUUUUGAAGAUUGUACGAGUAUAAUCAAGUUACGUGCUCAAGGAAUCUAGCUCUCUACCUCCUGGGGAUAAACCUUUGGAACCUGAUGAGGAAGAAAAGUUAUCCCUUUACUCUAAAAUGUGGAUAACGAGAUAAACUGUUCAUUUGAUACAAAAUAAACAGUACAUUUGCCAUGUCAGCAAUUCCUUUUCCUUCUUCACCGAUUCCCUUUUCUUCUUGGAUUUUUGGUUUAACUAGAUGAUCUUCAAGUUUUAGGGCUUCUUCAGAUUUUGGUAAUGAAACCUUUUGGGUUGGUUUAUUUUCAAUUUAGUGGCUGCUUCUUUAUGCUUUAUGCUUAAGCUCUUGGAAAGUUAAGUUUAUUUAAAUAUUUAUUUAGCUAUAAUUCUAUACAUAGGUGCUUGCAAAUUCAUCACUUGAAAUAAGUUCCUUUAUUUAGCUAUAAUGGCUUUGAGUAACUUAUAUAUAUGAUAUGUCUCUAUGACAUUAAUAUUAUUCAUUAUUUGCUAACAAAUAGUGAAUUCACUGUUUCACUACUUUCAUCAAUUGUUUUACAUUCAUCCAUUGCUUUUCCCAUUUUAUCAGUCUCAGCUGUUUCACUGCCAUUUUUCCACCUCUCUGAUUUUCGCACUUUUCUCUACCAUUUUACCUCUUUUCAACUAUCUCAGAUUGAACAUCUUUCAAUAGAGAAUUCAACAAAAUCUGGUAAUUUUGUUUGGUUGUUUGUUACCCAUUUACUUGAUUUUCUCUCAUUUCUUGAAUUCAUGAUCUGGGUCUUUAAAAUCCCUUGAUUUUUAAAUUUUUUUUCUUAUUUAUUUUUUUAUUGGUAAUUAGAGUUGUUUGUUUUACAAUUUUAUUUUGGAGAUUAUUUAGAUUUUCGUAUGCAAAAUGUUGAUUGUUCUUACAAUUUAAGCCCGGAAGAGCCAUGUACAAAGAUCUCACUUUGUGAUGCUUUGAUUGUAAGAAGUGGAACAAAGGUAUCUCGAGAAGUUUUUGAGUCUUCUCAUGGAAGAUUAAAGGUUGUUGGAAGAGCUGGUGUUGGGAUUGAUAAUGUGGAUCUGGGUGCAGCAACUGAACAAGGGUGUUUGGUUGUUAAUGCUCCAACAGCAAAUACUAUUGCUGCUGCUGAACAUGGGAUUGCUCUUUUGUCUGGUGUGUCUAGGAAUAUUGCUCAAGUUGAUGCUUAUGAAAGCUGUUAUGUUUUUUGAUUGGUUUUUGUUUUUGGCUUUUGGUUGAACAUGUUAUGGAUGAUGUUUAUGACAUAAUUUAGAUUUGUGAUGGAAUGUGUGGGUUUUUCUGAUUUUGAUUGGAUGAUGCGGAUUCAAAUUUUGGGUGAUUGUGGGAGGAUUUGAAAAUUUUUGAAUUGUGAACUGAAAAAUAUUAAAUCUUUGAUUGCAGUAAUUUUUUUGUGUAUUUGUUUUGUAAGAUUGUAAUUUGGUUUUUUGAUUAGUGGGUGAAAUUUAAUGUAGAUUUUGAUCGGAUAAAUGGAUUUUAAAAGUUGGAUUGAUAUACUUGGAUCGCUAGUUUACAAGUAUUAUGCUGGGGUUAAGCUCUGUUAACUUUAAAGUUUGGCUUUUGAAUUGGGGGGCUAAAAAACUCCUACUUCAAGUUGUAGCUUGUUUUGGCUACCUAGCUGGGAUAGCUACAUUAUUUAGUGCAACUGCAGUAGCUGCUUCAUCUGCUGAUGCAGGGAAGUAUGUGAGAUAUACAGCAGAAAAAGUCGAAGCUUUGGAGAGGGUUUAUGCUGAAUGCCCUAAGCCUAGCUCUUUACGACAUCAACAGUUGAUUCUCGAAUGCACCAUUCUCGCCAACAUUGAGCAUAAACAGAUCAAAGUUUGGUUCUAAAAUAGAAGUUGAUUUUGAUUUUUGAUUGAUUGUUUUGCUAAUUUUGUUUUUAGUUACGGAAGACUGUUCAUUUUUGUUCCUUGGGGUGGUUUAUGCAGGUGUAGAGUAAAACAGAGAAAAGAAUCGUCAAGGUUACAGACAGUGAAUAGGAAAUUAAGUGCAAUGAACAAAUUGUUGAUGGAAGAGAAUGAUCGAUUGCAGAAAAAAGUUUCUCAAUUAGUUUGUGAAAAUGGGUUUAUACGCCAACAACUCCGCACCGGUUGUGACUACUGAUGAAAGUUGUGAGUUUGUGGUCACCUCUCCUCAACAUUCAAAUAGAGACACAAAUAACCCUGCAGAGUAAUAAGUUAUGUUGACCUUUUUUGUCCUUUUCUUUGACUUAAUAUUGAUGGUUAGUUUUUAUGAUGCAUAUCCCUUCAUUUUUUUUGUUUGUUGACAGACUCCUGUCUGUUGCGGAGGAAACAUUGGUAGAGUUCUUCUUGAAGGAGACAUGGAUUGCUGUUGAUUGGGUCCAGAUGCUUGGGAUGAAGCCUGGUCCGGAUUCGGUUAGGAUCUUUGCCAUUUCACAUAGUUGCAAUGGAGUGGCAGCCCGAGCCUGUGGCCUUGUUAGUUUGGAGCCUACAAAGACUACAGGGAUACAUUGGCUGAAUAGAUGGCUUGGUCGAUGAUGGGUUGCAUUGUUUGAUGAUGACUUGGGCUGUUUAUAUGAGAGUGGUGCUGCUGCGGCGUAACAAAAUACUGUGUAGAAUCACUUGACUGCACGCUCUGCCCAUACUUUCUUUUCUCAUUGUUUCAACUCUAUUUGAGAAUUUGCGUUAAGUUUAAUUUAUUAUUCAACAAUCAAAUUAGUUUGUUAUUUAAUAAGUCUUAUGUAGAAAUGACUUGAUGUUGAUGAACCAUAGUUCAUAAGUAUUUAUUCCAAGUUGGCA